rnacentral:misc_RNA from 1 species
AACGCACAUUGCGCCCUCUGGCAUUCCGGAGGGCACACCUGUCCGAGCGCCGUCGCAACACUGAGGCUCAGCCUUGCGUUGGCGGCCAGCUUCUGGAGACGGAAGCUGCCGCUCAAACUCGACGGCGCCGCGACCGGCGGAGACGAACGCACGAAAGCGAGAGUCCCCCGGGUCACGGCCGCCUUGUAGACCAUAUCAAGCUUGGCCUCGGAUCAGGUGGGGAUACCCGCUGAACUUAA